rnacentral:rRNA from 1 species
AUUGAACGCUGGCGGCAGGCUUAACACAUGCAAGUCGAGCGGAGAUGAGGUGCUUGCACCUUAUCUUAGCGGCGGACGGGUGAGUAAUGCUUAGGAAUCUGCCUAUUAGUGGGGGACAACAUUCCGAAAGGAAUGCUGAUACCGCAUACGUCCUACGGGAGAAAGCAGGGGAUCUUCGGACCUUGCGCUAAUAGAUGAGCCUAAGUCGGAUUAGCUAGUUGGUGGGGUAAAGGCCUACCAAGGCGACGAUCUGUAGCGGGUCUGAGAGGAAGAUCCGCCACACUGGGACUGAGACACGGCCCAGACUCCUACGGGAGGCAGCAGUGGGGAAUAUUGGACAAUGGGGGGAACCCUGAUCCAGCCAUGCCGCGUGUGUGAAGAAGGCCUUAUGGUUGUAAAGCACUUUAAGCGAGGAGGAGGCUACUGAGACUAAUACUCUUGGAUAGUGGACGUUACUCGCAGAAUAAGCACCGGCUAACUCUGUGCCAGCAGCCGCGGUAAGAC